rnacentral:rRNA from 1 species
ACGGGAGGCAGCAGUGGGGGAUAUUGCACAAUGGGGGAAACCCUGAUGCAGCGACGCCGCGUGAGUGAUGAAGUAUUUCGGUAUGUAAAGCUCUAUCAGCAGGAAAGAAAAUGACGGUACCUGACUAAGAAGCCCCGGCUAACUACGUGCCAGCAGCCGCGGUAAUACGUAGGGGGCAAGCGUUAUCCGGAUUUACUGGGUGUAAAGGGAGCGUAGACGGCUUGGCAAGUCUGAAGUGAAAGCCCGGGGCUCAACCCCGGAACUGCUUUGGAAACUGUUGAGCUGGAGUGCAGGAGAGGUAAGCGGAAUUCCUAGUGUAGCGGUGAAAUGCGUAGAUAUUAGGAGGAACACCAGUGGCGAAGGCGGCUUACUGGACGGUAACUGACGUUGAGGCUCGAAAGCGUGGGGAGCAAACAGGAUUAGAUACCCUGGUA